AGUGAACGCUGGCGGCAGGCCUAACACAUGCAAGUCGAGCGGCAGCGCGGGGGCAACCCUGGCGGCGAGCGGCGGACGGGUGAGGAAUGCGUCGGAAUCUGCCCAGUCGUGGGGGAUAACGUAGGGAAACUUACGCUAAUACCGCAUGCGCCCUAAGGGGGAAAGCGGGGGACCGAAAGGCCUCGCGCGAUUGGAUGAGCCGACGCCGGAUUAGCUAGUUGGUAGGGUAAAGGCCUACCAAGGCGACGAUCCGUAGCUGGUCUGAGAGGAUGAUCAGCCACACUGGGACUGAGACACGGCCCAGACUCCUACGGGAGGCAGCAGUGGGGAAUAUUGGACAAUGGGCGCAAGCCUGAUCCAGCCAUGCCGCGUGUGUGAAGAAGGCCUUCGGGUUGUAAAGCACUUUUGUCCGGGAAGAAAACCCUGGGGCUAAUACCCACGGGGAAUGACGGUACCGGGAGAAUAAGCACCGGCUAACUUCGUGCCAGCAGCCGCCGUAAUAC
rnacentral:rRNA from 1 species